rnacentral:rRNA from 1 species
GAUGAACGCUGGCGGCGUGCCUAAUACAUGCAAGUCGAGCGAAUGGAUUAAGAGCUUGCUCUUAUGAAGUUAGCGGCGGACGGGUGAGUAACACGUGGGUAACCUGCCCAUAAGACUGGGAUAACUCCGGGAAACCGGGGCUAAUACCGGAUAAUAUUUUGAACUGCAUGGUUCAAAAUUGAAAGGCGGCUUCGGCUGUCACUUAUGGAUGGACCCGCGUCGCAUUAGCUAGUUGGUGAGGUAACGGCUCACCAAGGCAACGAUGCGUAGCCGACCUGAGAGGGUGAUCGGCCACACUGGGACUGAGACACGGCCCAGACUCCUACGGGAGGCAGCAGUAGGGAAUCUUCCGCAAUAGACGAAAGUCUGACGGAGCAACGCCGCGUGAGUGAUGAAGGCUUUCGGGUCGCAAAACUCUGUUGUUAGGGAAGAACGAGUGCUAGUUGAAUAAGCUGGCACCUUGACGGUACCUAACCAGAAAGCCACGGCUAACUACGUGCCAGCCGCCGCAGUAA